AAUCUUAACUACAAGAAC
rnacentral:tRNA from 1 species